UACGUAGGUGGCAAGCGUUGUCCGGAUUUAUUGGGUUUAACGGGUGCGUAGGCGGCCCUGUAAGUCAGUGGUGAAAUACUCUAGCUUAACUAGAGGGGUGCCAAUGAUACUGCAGGGCUUGAGUACAGAUGAGGUAGGCGGAAUUGACGGUGUAGCGGUGAAAUGCGCAGAUAUCGGGAAGAACACCGGUGGCGAAGGCGGGUCUCUGGGCCGAUACUGACGCUGAGGAGCGAAAGCGUGGGGAGCGAACAGG
rnacentral:rRNA from 1 species